rnacentral:lncRNA from 1 species
CUCUCCGCAUGAAGUGAGGUGACCACAUACACUAGAUUGACAAGGAUUCUCUAUUUUUUUGUUGUUGUUGUUGCAGUUGGCUACCCCUGCAUGACACUUGGAAUUUGUAAUCAACACCCGAGUGGCUUCUGGCAGGAGCUUGAAUACUUGAUGCAUGAGAGAAUUUGGGAUGAACAGCCAGUUGGAACAGGAAGAUGAAUGAUUCACUGAAUGACUGACUGACUGACUGAAAAGACACUGUAUGCAUGACUGUGUAAUCAUCCUUCUGAGCAUCAGUUUCCAGUCAGAACUGCAGAUGUCAAUGGAGGUGGAAACAAGACCCAGAAGAAAGGCAGUUUUUGAGAAUUUUCCAAUGUGAUUGUAAAGCCGAAGUGACGGAAAUCCCAUUUCAAAGACUGUUUUCCUAAAGCUUCCUAAACAAAUUAUAGUCUCCAGAGGUGAGUCUCCUUCUGAUUAGCUGAAUGUAAGCAAUUAGUCUUGAAGAUAGGAUUGCAGACAUUCCUUCUUCCCAGUCACCUCCCAAGCACUGACAACAAAUUUCAUCAAAGCAAGAAACAGCA